UACGUAGGGUGCGAGCGUUAAUCGGAAUUACUGGGCGUAAAGCGUGCGCAGGCGGAUAUGUAAGUUAGGUGUGAAAUCCCCAAGCUCAACUUGGGAACUGCACUUAAGACUGCAUGUCUAGAGUUUGUCAGAGGGGGGUAGAAUUCCAAGUGUAGCAGUGAAAUGCGUAGAUAUUUGGAGGAAUACCAGUGGCGAAGGCGGCCCCCUGGGAUAAAACUGACGCUCAUGCACGAAAGCGUGGGGAGCAAACAGG
rnacentral:rRNA from 1 species